UACGAAGGGGGCUAGCGUUGUUCGGAAUUACUGGGCGUAAAGGGCGCGUAGGCGGUGCAUCAAGUCAGGCGUGAAAGCCCCGGGCUCAACCUGGGAACCGCGCUUGAGACUGGCGCACUAGAGUUCGGGAGAGGAUGGUGGAAUUCCCAGUGUAGAAGGUGAAAUUCGUAGAUAGUUGGGAAGAACACCGAUGGCGAAGGCAGCCAUCUGGACCGACACUGACGCUGAGGCGCGAAAGCGUGGGGAGCAAACAGGG
rnacentral:rRNA from 1 species